rnacentral:rRNA from 1 species
ACUGAAUCAUAGAAUUUUUUAAAUUCAUGAUGUCGUAAGGGAAAAUAAUGAUAAUACCUUACUAUGAGUGUCGUCCAAAUCUGGUGCCAGAAGACUCGGUAAGACCAGAGACGCAAACGUUAAUCAUCAUAAACAGGCGUAAAGGGUUUGUAGGCAGCUUUCACCAAACUAUGAUUACAAAAUAAAGUAGUUUAAUUGAAAGCUAGAAUCAAAAAGAGGUUAUAGUGUAUAACGCCUAGAGGAGGGCUGAUAUCCAUAGAUCCUAGGCAGAAUACUCAGGGCGAAGGCCACUCUCCACUACUGAUUGACGCUGAGAAACGAAGGUUAGGGUAGGAAAUAGGAUUAGAUACCCCGGUACUCCUUUCUGUAAACGAUGAAUGGUAGUCAUUAGUUUUAUAACUAGAGACGAAGUUAACACAAUAACCAUUCCGCCUUGUGAGUACUACUGCAAAGUAGAAAACAAAAAAAUUAGUCGGUCUCGAAGCAAACGGAGUGAAGCAUGUUAUUUAAUACGAUAAUCCGCGUAAAAUCUUACCAGAGCUUGCAUACAAACUUUCUUUUCAAAAAAGAGAAAGGAGUAUUUUUAUUUUUCUAAAAUACUUAAGUACAGGUGUUGCAUGGCUGUCUUCAGUUCGUGUUGUUAAACAUUAGGUUAAUUCCACUAACGAACGAAAUCCCUGUUAUUAAUUUAUACUUAAUAACUAAUGAAUCUGAUAGAGAUUCAGCGGGG